GUCCACAGCUACUGGUCUGCAGCUGAUCUUAUGGUGGCAGUUGUAGCAUUCCUCUGUGGGAUAGAAACUGUUACACAAGAGGGAGGCUGGACAACAUGAAAACAAAGCUUUUAAUAUGAAUGAAAAUA